GACAGUACCUAGGUAAGGACUCCUAGCCAGUCAGAAGCAGAGUAUGAGGGCGUGCCCUGACAGUACCUGAGGUAAGAACUACUAGCCAGUCAGAAGCAGAGUA